rnacentral:snoRNA from 1 species
GUUCGGGUAUGAUGACUAAACAAAUUGUCAGAGGCUACAGCAUUGCUGAAGUUAUUUUGCACGUCAGUCUGAUCCGAAU